GACGUAGGGGGCGAGCGUUGUCCGGAUUUAUUGGGCGUAAAGCGUGCGUAGGCGGCUGCGCAAGUCGGGUGUGAAACCCCGGGGCUCAACCCCGGAACUGCAUCCGAUACUGCGUGGCUAGAGGUAGGUAGGGGAGAUCGGAAUUCCUGGUGUAGCGGUGAAAUGCGUAGAUAUCUGGAAGAACACCGGUGGCGAAGGCGGCAUCCUGGACCAACACUGACGCUGAGGAGCGAAAGCCAGGGGAGCAAACGGG
rnacentral:rRNA from 1 species